rnacentral:lncRNA from 1 species
CUCAGAAGAAUCACCCACAGGAAACUAAACAAAUUAGAAAACAAUUUUGGUAUUAUCUAAAGAUUAAUGGAGAAGAAGUGUUGAGAGAGAGAGAGAGGUUUGGGGAUUGUGGAGAUGGUUUCUCUGUGACCAGUCGGAGCCGAUUCGACCACUCGUUUUGGGUUUCCCGAUCAGGAUAGUGCUGACGUGGCGCACGUUGAGACGAUCUUGGAGUUCUCAUUGGAUAGAUAGAAUUGGGUUUUUUUGGCUCCUUUUAUAUAAUUGGGACUCAAUUCUUAAGAAAACAAACAAAAAAAAAGAAUUCAUCUUGGCUUUGUAUAACUUGGAAUGAAGAAGAUAACUUUCAAUCCAAGUUUUAACUUUUACUAAUAAAUUGGAUAACAUAUGUUGUUCUCUUGUUAUACUGCAAAAUAACAACUUUUGUUGAUUACAUUCUCUCUACAAUAUAAAAGAAGUUUUCUAGGGGGUCUUAGUGAUUGUAAGUACUAGAUAGAUAGCUCCAUUGAUGAAUUUUGUUGACCUCUUUCACAUAUUCUAAGUUAUGGGAUUAAAUCCGAAACCAUCUGAAUGACUAUUAAAUGUAAAAUCGGCUUUAAGUAACUGAUCCAAUGGGCCUUGUUUGUAUUCUACCAAAAGAAUGUGGGCUUCUUAACUAUAAGCCUAUCAAUUACUCAGAAGAACAUUCAGUAGACCCAUGCCUUUUAAUGAGUAUGUGGAGGUGAGAUAUUUUUUUUAGUAGAGCCAAAAAGUCAAAACCCCAAGAGAGAGGCAAAACAAGAAAGACAAUGAUGAAGAUUCAUGAAUACAAGAGAGACAGAGAGGUCAAACUUGAAAUACAUAUACAUAAACAUAUAAUAUCAAGUAGGACCCCAAGUUGUGUAGGAGUAGCCUAGAAAAAACGAAGUCAAGUUCCAUGCCGAGAAGACUCCAAUUACAUACGACCAAAUUUUAGAAUUUAAUUUUCGCCACUCUUGAAAACGAAGUUACCAAAGGACGUUACUUUUUCUUUCCUUCUUUUUGGACGUUUCAGUGUUUUUUUUUAAUUCAAUUAAUCCAUCACUCGAAUAUCUGACGUAUCGCCGCCGUUAUCUCAUCGGCCGAUCCCAGUUUGCAGUCAUCUUCCAUCUGACAAUUUUGCAAAAAAACAAAAAAGUUUUAAUCUUUUCACCAAUGUCGAUGAUUUUGUUAAAUGGGUUUUGUGUGUGUUUUAUAAAAGUAAGUACCUUGAGGUUGAAGGAAUAAGAGACAGAUGUAUUGGUUGGAGAUGUGAUGUUGAGGUGAAGAACAGUGAAUCCAAAUUUCUCGAGCAUAAUGAUUGAUCUUAGAAGUUGUCCUUGUUUUCUCGUGCAUUGGAUUUUGAGAUUGACGUGGCUCUCUAUCACUGUGGCGUCGAUUUUGAGUCUGCUACUCUCUUCUUCUUCUUUACUCCCACGCAACUUGUUCGACGAAAUGUCCCUGAGAUUGUUAUCUUCUGGAAUUUGCUCUUUGCUAUCACUACUCUGUUGAGUUGUCUUUUGUGCUUCAAGGGACUGUAAGCGUUGCUCCAGGAUCUUCACGAAGUCUAUUGCUCCUCCUACUAUUGACGCUUGAUCUCCCUAUCAAAACAACAACCUUAGUUUUAAGGAAUUUCGACAUUACGAAAGGUUGAAACUUUGAUAUGUGGGUUUCGUUUAUUACCCUUUGGAUGUAGGAGGAUGGAAUGAUGGAGCGGAGUGAGUUGAGAUGAACGUUCAUUUGGCGUCUGCGGUUUCGUUCGACCGCAAUGUGUGUCAUUCUUUGACUCUCCAUCUCUUCUAUGUUCUUUGCUGGUUUUGUUCUCCUUCUCUUUCUCUUUUCUUUGUUCAUCAAUGUCACCAGGUUGUUGUUCUUCCGUUUGCGUCUUGAAUUAGCAUUUUGAAGCGGGUUGAACGGAAGUUCUUGGCCUGAGAUGGCUUCACUGACUCCUUCCAGAUAUGUAUUCUGAUAGUAGUUGUUGGUUUCAGAAUUGAUCGGUGAAUGAAACUCUGGAACUUCAUGUGGGAGAUAGUUUUCGAGUUCCCAAUUAGGCUUUCCAAGUGUCUGGAGAGAUAGUAGUGCUAGAAAGUUUGGUUCUUUGAUGGACAAAAACGAAGAAGGUUCUUCACUUUGUUGCAGCAUCUGUAGAAAUGGAAUCGUUGUAUCUUGCAGCAAGCUUGCAGUUGACGACUGUUCUUCCUCAAAGGCAAAGCUUUGAUGAUUCUCUACAGAUCCUUGAACUUGUAGGCUUCUUCUCACAUUCACUUUUUGAUCCAAAGACUGCAACAACAAAAAAAAGCAGAGGAAGGAGAUACCAACCAAGUGAGUGAGAGAAAGUGAAAGAAGUGAGACUUCAAAAAGAUAUUAAAUUUGGUUAAAUUCUACUGUGGGUUUUGGUUAGUGGGUCAGUGUAGAGAAACAAAAUUAGGAUGAAAAAUGGAAUGUUUCAAAGAGAGGGAAACAGUUGAGAGCAGAUUUGUUAGUGUUUUCGGUAUAACAAACAUACACAGCAUUGAAUGCAACCAUUGUGGACUCUUUUGGAAGGAGUAAAUGCAAGUCCACAUCCUUUGAUUACAGAAUCAAAAUAGUUGAAAAAGAAAAGAUUAAAAGAAAGAAGAAAACGAAAACGUUCCAUAUUGAGAUAAGAUACAUUACACAGAGCUUGUUUUGUCCUUGAACACUCCUCUCCAUUUGAAAAGCUGAGCUCUAUUUCUUUCUCUCCUCUAGGACAAUGAUGGGAAGAAAUAAAUGUGAGAGGUUUAAUGAACUAAAAACAGGAAACUUAUGUAUUCACGUCUUGUUAUGAAAGUUUCUGAAGCUAAAGCUUUUAGCUUUAUAAAGAAGAGGGGUCUUAAACUGUUAUGAAGAUGUUGAAGAGAAAUUGGGAAAUUGAAAAUGAGAUAUGAAAGAGAAAGGAAAGAAAACACAAGUGGUAAAGAGAUGAAGCCAGAUGUUUGUUUGAGGACUGAAGAUGAGUUGGUGGGAGGGCUGAGCAGAGCAAGAAGAGGAAAGAGGAGAGAGGGAGAAAGAGUCUCUGACAGAAGAAAGGUCCCUCAGAGAAACAUUAUUGGCUGUGGCAGUUUUGUCUGGCAGCGGAGACAGACAAUUGUGGGGACUUCUGUUAACACACGGAAGAUGAAGAAGAUGAAGAAGCAGAAGAGAGUUUCCAUUGAUUUUGUGUUUUCACAUUAAAAAGCUUUCAACUUUUGUUGCAACCCAAUGGAUAAAAACUGAAACUUUUGAAGUCUCUGUGUUCACUCAUGAUCGAGUCGUUAACCCGUGAAUUGUGGCUUCUUAUCUGUUAAACAUGCAAGUGUCGAUGCCUUGGCUUUAGGGGUACUAACCAGUGUCUGCCUGCAAAUAUCUUUGUAUUUUCAUCUGAUUUUGUGUAUUUUACGAGCUGUAAAAUAAAACGGUGAGAAUCCCUUUUUUGUCCCUUACUUCUUUUGCAUAUUUUACAUCUGAUUCCAAAGAACUACGUUUUGUCACCGAUCAAAUCCGAAAAUUAUCUCUCUUUUAAGAACACAGAUUCAAUCUUACUAAGUUCACAACACAAGAAAAAACCUUAUCCAUGUUCGCAAUUGUGGCCUCUGUUUAUCUCACGUGGUAAGUCUAACACAGCCAAAACAAGAUCCAACACAAAUUUCCCAGAACACACGAAUAAAUUUGUCUGCAUUCUGGAGAUCUCGUUCAUACUACUGUGAUAAGAAGCCAACCAAAGUAAAAUAAUUAAAAGUUCAACCUUUACCUGAGUUUUGAUUAAAGAAUGCCUUUAGAGACCUUAUCAACAAAUUAGGGUUUGGAGAUUUCAUCUUUGUGUGUACUUGUUGAUGUAACUUAAAGCUCUGGUUACUUACUCUCAGGACAAACAUGACCCACUUGUGACAUAUCAAUUAAACCCCUAGCAAUCAGUCAGAUUCUGCUUCUAACACAAUCACAAGCCCUGUGACUCCUAGGAAGAUAAUGAAUCUUAAAUGAAGGCAGACCUAAUCUCAGAAAAGUUAAAAUGACGUAUCAGUUCUAAGCAGUUGUGUCCUUUCACCCUUUUUGAAACAAGGACAAAAAGUUUCUUCCUUGAAGAGGAAUAAUGCUUACUUGUGCACAACCAAACGAUCAUGACACAUAACUAUAAAGCAGAGGAACACAGAAAGUGGAAAAAGGUAGAAACUUUAUUAAUUAUUGUUAAUGAGAAUGCUGAUACAAAACUCUUCAUCAGAUCUUAGCUUUUCUUUUAGCGCUCGAUUUGUAUCGUAACAUGAGUAAUGUUAUGCUCCCUGCGGAUGUAAUCAAUUACCUUGUUGAGUACCAUAUCUGCAUUUGCUUCUGGUCUGAUGUUGACAUGGCAAGCCAAUAGCACUUUUCCCACUGUGAUUGCCCAAAUGUGAAGCUCAUGAACAGCCACCACUUCUUCUAUUUCGAGCAAACCCUUUUCGAGUUUUGUAGCAUCAAUCUCCCUGGGUGUACUCUCCAUCAAUACUUCUAGAAUGCUUCGAAUCAUGUUGAUGGUUGUUCCUAAGACAAUAACCGAAAAGACAAGCGUACAGAUUAGAUCCACAAUCUUCAGUUUCGGAUUGUACCAAAUGAUAGCUCCUCCAAUCAUAACACCAACACUCUGGAUGGAAUCCCCAAGGACAUGAAGAUAAGCUCCCUGGACGUUGAUGUUCCUCUUUCUUUUCUCUUUUUCCGUGACUUGAGUCUUUGAUUUGUCCAACAAUUGCUCAGUAACAUCCCCAUGAGCAUGGUGUUUGUCCUCACCAUGACUCUGACCAUGAUCAUGAUGAUGGUGAUGGGUAGUAACAGUCACCCCAUGGAUAUGGUUUCCACCAUGAUCGUGAUGGUCAUGACCAUGGCUAUGCCCAUGACUGUGACCAUGAUCAUGUCCAAGCAAAACAGCCAUUAUGAUGUUCACCACUAGACCAAAAGCAGAAACAAGAAACAUGAGGAAUCCAUUAACCUCACUGGUCUCGGUGACAAUCCUGAUAAUGGCUUCGUACACCAGAAUUCCCGUGAGCAACCAAAUGAGCUGGAUAGACACAAGAGCUCCCAAAAUCUCAAUCCUGAAAAACCCAUAAGUCUGCCUCGGUGUCGCUUCCCAGCCAGCAGCCCACAAUGAGAACAGCGAGAUUGCAAAGGCAGCAACGUCAGAGAGCAAAUGAGCAGCGUCGGUUAGUAUGGCCAAACUGUUGGCUUUGAUGCCACCAACAACUUCAACGCUCAUGAACACUAGACACAGCACGACAGCGAUACAAAGCUUUCGCAUAGAAGCAUUGCGUUCUGCGGCAUCCCCUGAAGCAUUCUUAGAAUCUGAAAACCCACACGGCGCUUCUCCACAGACUUUACUUCCAGCAAUAAUUCUUUCUUCACCAGACUUUGCAACAUUAACCUCAACAAUGUGACUAUGGUGGGGACUUGAAGACUCCAUCUGCAAAGAGAAAAGGUUAAGGGAAAAUGAGAAAACAACCAAAAAAAGGCUCAAGAGAAGUCAAGAAGCAAACCACAAAUCAGUUACCUUUACAAUAAGAUAACGGAAUCCCAAUUCAAAUGAGCCACAAGAAUAGCUUUCCGAAUUUGGUAAUCUGUUUCAACAAAAAAGAAAGCAAAUAUAACCAGAAAGAUCAAAUCAUUAGAAGAGGACAUGUAUGCCACUAUUUACAGCUACAGAAGGAGGAACACUUCAAGCAAACACAGAGAAAGGAAUUAAAAAACAAACUAGUCAACGGUUUCACACCAUAUAAUAAUCAUCACAACUUAAAGAGUCGAAACCCAAAACAAUACAAAUAAAGAGAUACAACACACACACAAAAAAAUGACUGAAUCAAGUUUGACCCUAAUAUAUAAACAACAGUAAAAGAGAAUCAAAGUGUCCCAAUCAGACCAAUUCCAGAUGUCAGAGUCAGAAAGUGAAGAAUCACAAACCCUAACACGAUUCAUAAUGCAUCAGAAAAUACUGGUUCAAGUGCGAUACAAUAAUAAAAAUCUAAACGUCUCCCACAAGACCAAUUCUAGAUUAUAAAAGUCAGAUUUUGAAGGAAACCCAAACCCCAAAAAAAAACGUGGCUGGCCGCGUGAGGAAGAAGAAGGGUUCAGAAAGCAGCAGCAGCAAUUGAAAACCCUACCUUUAGCACAGAGCCAAAGUAAGAGAGAGAGAGAGAGACUCACCAGAAGAGAGUCGAGAUUCAAGUAACCAAAUUGAAGAUUCAGCUGUAUAAGAAUCUCUCUGGGCAGGGUAGAGGCGGCCAAAAGGAGAAAGCUUUUUUAAAAAUAAGAAAAGGAAAAAAAUCGGGGAGCACCGAUUACAUGAGAGAUCCACCUAACCCUCCUUUUUUUUUCUUUUUUUCUCUCUUAUCUCCUUCGGGAGAUCUCUCUCAAGUCUCUUUCGAAUCUCUAUGGUUCCAUUCUUGUUUUUUCUUUUUUAUUUUCUCCUUUGACGGUAAUAAUGAGGAACACGUGGACGAUAUCUAUGGACCGUAAUAUUUGCUGUCUUCUUAUAUUCAAUGAUUGGUUCUCUCACCGGCGAAAUUUGAAUCUCUAACCAAACCAAUCAAGUGGCUUUUUUCUUUAAUCCGGUUUCAAUAGAUUGGUUCGGAAUGUCGGUUUAGCCUAAUGAUUGGGUUAUGUAUAUGUUACACUAGUUUUUGAACCACCAGUUUCAAUUUCAACGUAACAACGAACAUCAUUAUCAAGUUACGGUUUUGGCUAAGCCUGAUCAUUUUCACUUCUCAGAGUUGAAUAUAUACAAAAGUUACCCCAAUUCUCUCAGAAGAGGCCAAUCAAACAUACCAAAAAGCACACUAAAAUAAGUUUUCUACUGAUAUAUUAAAAUCAACAAAAGAAAUCGAGACAAACUUCUAGGAGUUGUUUUCCGUUGAGCUUCUUCAGGCUUUAGUAGACGAGUCUGAAUUGACAGCACGCACGAACUGGCCUUUCACUCUUGGACGUUGUUCUGCUAGCUUCUUCCUGCUCUGGUACCGAACCUGUAAUCCAUUUUUUUUUAUUAUACAUCCCCAUUGAAUCAGUUCGAUCCUGUGUAUUUUGAUUCAGAUGCUGUUUAUGAUGAAGCUUGUUGUGGGUCUCUUACCUUUUUAUCAAAGCAUCGAUCUUUCCUCUUCAACCGGAACUUCAUCAGUGCAGCUUCUCUCUGGCUUCGACUCCAACGUUGUUGUGCACUUUCUUCCUCCUUUGGUUUUUUCUCUGUGCUGCUACUUUGUCCUGCAAUCCCCUCGCUGGUGUUGCAGCAAGUGCUUUGAGAUCCGACUUCCACUUCCUUGCUAGCUUUCAAACGAUUUGAUUCUACUGGAACGGGGGAAUCUUGCACUUGAUUUGUAACCGCGGACGGAAUAACUUGGUGAUUGAAGCUUAACUCAUUCUGCCCACAUUGUCCAGUUAUGCUUGAUGAUCCAAUAUUCUCCUGGUUGCUGCUCGUUGUGGCGCUUCCCUGAUCAGAUCUUACUUUUCUUAACUUUUCAUGUGAUUCGGUUGGUGUCUUUGGCUCCCCUGAACUACUCGCCUCUAAAGCAACCACGGCUUUCUCUGCUUCUUUGCUAUUCUCGAAUCUGCAAGUUAAUAAGUAAAGUUAGUGAUUCAUUAAGACACUUAUCAAAAGAUUUGAGAGACUCCCUUUUUCGAGCAAGGAAACACACUAACCUUAAGAAGGCUGAUGCGUCAGGGAGGCUAAGCUUUUGAUGCUUGCUUUCAUCUCGGUUCUCAAAACUAAUAGAGCAAGAUCUUUUCAGAGAGAGUCCAAGCUCGGGACCAACACAGGCGUCACGACUGAUGUCUCCAAAGAUACACUCAGGCCGUUUGUCAAUUCCGCCAAUCAAAUCCAUUGUCACAUCAAAAGAUUCAGGCUUUUUGUCAAUUCUACCAGAAUCCUUAACCUCGUCUCUGUCAUCUAGUGAUUUGGCAUUUUCCAUUAGCUUAUUGUGACCAUUGUAGCUGAUAGCCUGCAUAAUAUGCAAGUGUACUAUAUUAGCUUCUAAUGAAAUGCGAUAAACAAAAAACUCUGGAAAAAUGACAAUACUAUGCAGUGUCAAUAUGAGUGACCACAACUCAUACAAAAUAUAAUCAAAAACAUAUAGAUUGUAUCAUGUAACAACUCAGUGGUGGUAACAUCUAUACCUGAGCACCACUUCCUUGAUCGGAAUGAUAUCUGGAAUCUCCACUAGUUUCAUCAGUGUCUUCAAGGUUGUGCUGUGACGCUGGUAAACUUUGAGCAUGAGCCGUAGGAUCAUCACGCAACUGAUUCAUAACCAAAAACACAAUAAGUCAUUCAAACUACAAACUUCAACAUAAGGAAACAAAAUCCAAAACACCAAAACAAAAAAGGAAAAUAUCUUACAGUAAGUCUUCGCCAUACAUGUUGCCAUAGAUUUUUCAACUCGUUUUUCCUCAUGGGUUUAAUUAGAUAAUCAGCAGCACCUCUCAGCAUACACUUCAACACCAUUUUUAUCGAAUCUUGGGAAGACAUCACUAUUCAUUUCAAGAAAAAAAAACAUGAGAACAAAAAAUCUCUUAAAAAGGCGUUUUCAGAGGUAUAAAGGACUUUGGGGAUCACCAUCGUACUUAUGACAGGAAUGUUCUUGCAAGCUUCAUGCUCCAUGACCAAAGCAAGCAGAGCAAAACCAGAUAUAGAUGGCAAAUCCAGCUCAGUUAGUACAAGAUCAAUGUUAUGUGACUUCUCCUUAAGAAUCUCCCAAGCAGCUAAACCAUCGGAAACAGCAACAACUGUAAUAAAUCAAAAAAGCAAGAUCGAGUUUUUUUUUUAGUUUCACAGGUCAAACAUCUUCAAACUAAAUCAAUACAUAAAAAAAAAAAAGCAAACUUUAUCAUAAGUAAAUGAAGAAAAGAUCAAUCCACCUUUGUAACAGCAUUUACGAAGCAGAGCAGUGAUGAUUUGACGAGUUGAAUCAUCAGAUUCAACUAGCAAAACCCUAAGCACAGUUUUAGGCAAAUACUUCUCCCACUGAACAACUUCCGAGGACUUGCCUCUGUUGUUCUUCAUCGUCUCCAUACCAUCAUCACUACUUAAAACUACAAUCUCCCCCAUCGAAUCGAAGCUCAAAGCAAACAAAAAAAAGCAGAACUUGAUAACACCAAAAAAGUCAAAAAAUACAAAACAGCAAACGAAACGAGUAUCUCGGUGAAAACAGAUCUUAGUCCGCUCAGAUAAAUCGUUUCCGAUCAAAAGGAUUGAAGGAGAGAGAAAGAGAGAGAAAAAAAUAUCAGAGGUUGAAGAGAAGAUGAAGAAGGAAGGAAGAAGAAAAAGAAACUAUUAAUUUAGUUUGGUAUCUUUGGAUCACAACCACGAAAAU